UACAGAGGAGCCAAGCGUUGUCCGGAUUGACUGGGCGUAAAGCGCGCGUAGGCGGCCGGAUAAGUCCGGUGUGAAAGUCACAGGCUCAACCUGUGAAUGCCGCUGGAAACUGUCUGGCUUGAGUCCGGAAGGGGCGAGUGGAAUUCCUGGUGUAGCGGUGAAAUGCGUAGAUAUUGGGAAGAACACCUGAGGCGAAGGCGGGUUGCUGGGCCGACACUGACGCUGAGGCGCGAAAGCCAGGGGAGCGAACGGG
rnacentral:rRNA from 1 species